rnacentral:lncRNA from 1 species
CAGGGAAGGACUGAGCUAGAAGCUCCAAAUCCCGAUCGGUAACAAACAUCCGCUUCAGGUAAACCUUCUCGAGCCACGGGUAGGAGGUAGCCAUGGCCGUUACCCAAGGGGUGAAGUAAGCACCCCAAUUCGGAGGCAUCAGGUUAAAGUCGGCGAACCGCGGCUUCCCCUUGAGCACCACGGACCUCACCCGCCUGAACCGCUCGAUCGCGCGGCGAGGCGACACGGCGUAGCAGUUUCCGAUGAAGAGGUCGGAUCGGGUGAGCGCCUCCGCACGGUACCACGAUUUGCAGACCAGUGAGACCGCG